CGCCGCGAUGAGCUACUCCAUCCGGGUCCUGGGCGCCGCUCCGGGUCAGUCUGCAGCAGGCUUCAGCAGAUUUGACCAAAAACGUUUGAGGCUUUGACACUGCUGCUACGACCUGCAGGUAUUGACAACCGUGCCUCGGAUUUAAAACAGACCUGGUGGAAUUACAUCUAUGGAAGAAGAUUGUAAUUUAACUCACAUUUUUAAAAGAGAAUUGAGUUUUAGGUAUUUAUCUUGCUCUGCAUCUUGCUGUCUAUCCAGAGGUGAAGUCUUGAGAGCCCCUAAUGGUUGGUAUAAUUUUAAAGUCUGAGGUCAAAAUCUUUCUAAGUGACUUGUUGCAUGAGGCAAGGGGAAGCUUUCUCUGUGAUAAACUUAUGUAUAAUAUAGAUGCUGUCUUGUCUCUGGUAAAACAACAUUUCUUCUACAUCUGAACUAAGAAGAUGCCUGCACUGUGGGAUGAGGUAGUAGGUUGUAUAGUUUUAGGGUCAUACCCACAACUGGGAGAUAACUAUACAAUCUACUGUCUUUCCUAAAGCAGCAGAAAAUCAGCAAUGUCAGAUCUUUCACUUUAAAAACUUUAUUGUCCAGUUAUUCAGAACUUCUCUAGUUCGAAGGGCUUGUGUGCAGAGAAAAUACAUUUCUGUAGCAUAGCAGAGUUGAUAUGUAAUGUCUGGAUUUGUUUAUCCCUGGAAAGUCAGUUUCUUUACCAUUCUGAUUUUCAAGUUAGAUUUUUUUUAAAUUCUCUUUAGGGGAGCAGCACAGGUAUGGAAGAACAGAUUUCAUCCUAACUGUAUAUUGUAUGGGGUAAUUUAAAAACUAAAGCUGUUGAAUUUCUAAUUAAGCAAAAUGCUAGUGGUGGUAAUUGGUGCCAUAAGAUAAAACUCAUUCAAAGUUGGAUAACUGUGCAGCUAAACUAUAUUUCCUGAAACUAGGAUUGUUACGUACAAAUUUCUCUAGCGGAGUGAGGUAGUAGAUUGUAUAGUUGUAGGGUAGUUAUUUUACCCUGUUCAGGAGAUAACUAUACAAUCUAUUGCCUUCCCCGAGGAGUAAAAAAAAAUCUGCAGUUCCUUUGCAUGCUAGUUGAACAUCCUGAAUUUACAGUUGGUGAGUGGACUUUCACUCAAGCCUGUAAAAUAUCAGGUGAUUGAGUGGCUGGAUUUACAGCUCUGAAUACUAAUAUGGCACACACUAACAAUGCAUUCGGCUUCUGUGCUGAAUUUUUUCAAAGGUGAGUUAUGUGUUGCUGAUUUUAUAUACAAAUGGUCUUUCAAAUGUGUUCUGUUGCAUUACUAAACUUAACUUAAAUUGGUCAGACAGCUACACAAGUUUUGAAAUUCAUGGCUGCUCUGACAGCAUGUUGCCCAAGUAGCCACUAAACUGAUUGGGGAGAAAAUGACUUCAGCAGCACUACCUUGUGUAAACACUUCUGUCUCCGUCCACUUGUCCUCCCCCCGAUGCUAGGAAGUGAGAUCGUUAGUGGUUCUCCACUUUUUCUUUGCACCUUACUAAACGGGAGGGUAUGAUCCUCUGAUGCCUGUUUUAACCUUCCUGGGGGUUAUGAGCCCUAGAAGGUUUUCUUUGCCCAGUAAAUCUCAGCUGGGUACAUUAUUUUUUUUUUAAAUGGCAUAGGCUCAAACUUGUUUUCUCACUGCCUACAAUGGUUAAACCCUGACUAGUUUAUUGUGUUGGAGAAAGAGCUACCCGAUAAGUGAUAAUUUUAGGGGCUGUUCUUACUGAACAAGUGGUAGUGGGCUUAAUUAAGGUGAAACUGAAGUACUGUAUCAGUCAUGAAGCUUUAGUCUAGAGACAACUUUUUGUAACUGAUCUACCAUUCCUCAUUUAAACAAUAUUAGCAAAUAAAGCUGAAGUUACCUGGAAAUAUAAAUGGAUGUAAAAUGUCACAGUAUAUGCAUAUCUGAAAACAACUUUUCUUGCAGUUUCUUUUGAUUUUAACAGCUGAUUUUGCAGUGCAGCUGCUAAAUAGAAGAACUGCAGAAGAAACAAUGGGCUCCUAGGAAGAGGUAGUAGGUUGCAUAGUUUUAGGGCAGGGAUUUUGCUCACAAGGAGUUAACUAUACAACCUGCUGCCUUUCUUAGGGCUUUAUUAUUGCAACAGGACCAUUUUGGCUCAGUCUAAACUUCUGCAGCUUAGAUAUGCAAAGAAAAAACUGGUAUAAGCCAAACCAGUAUUUAUUGAUACUAAGUGUGGCAGCAACAGACUCCUUCUGACAACCCAUGUGCAGUACUAACCUCAAGGUUGCAGCAGUAUAAUGCUGCUUUUGAGGACAACUAGAACACACUAUUUGCUCCUUUAGUAAAAGUGAGGGGUGUAAUAGUCUCUCACCUUCCUUUCAAGAUUAGGCUAAGAUUUUCCAGCACUGAAUAAGAGAGAGUAUAUUGUUAGUUCAGGUGAUUUUUAAUGAUCUUAUUAGAAGUGAGGGAUGUACCUCUUCUCUUAAAGAACUCAGUGCUUAGGUUCCUAAUGACAACUCAAAUUUCCUAUUUUUCUAGAGGAGUAAACAUCUAAAAUGGUUGAGUUUUAAAGCUUGAUUUUUAUUGAUCAUGGAUGUGUGGGAUAUUAAGGGAAGAAUUGCAACCAGCUUAAACAAAUGUUGAAUGAAUCACAAGCAGUGGAAGGAAAUAUAGUGGUCCUUUCCUGUAGUUGUGUGAAAGUACAAAUACUUCCAUGAUUACACCAUUGCAAUGUAAAUUUAUAGCUGAGUUACAUACUUUUUGCAAGACUUCACAUGGGUCUAAAUCUUGCAGGUGUGGAAACAAUGUCCCUUGCUAUGUUACUUAGAGGUAGUCAGUACUUAAUUCUGUACUUUACAGAAUAUCAUACAUCUUCUGGAUAAAACACCAUGUCAGGAGAUGUUGCACUGAACCACACUAUGUUGACAGAACCAGAUUGAAGAAUUGUUUCCUCCUUGUAUUUUUUUUUAAUUUGAGUAUUUUUCAUGUGACUAAUUGUACUUUGUUGCAGAGCCAAUAAAUUUUAAACUG